rnacentral:rRNA from 1 species
AGAACGAACGCUGGCGGCAUGCCUAAUACAUGCAAGUCGAACGAGAUCUUCGGGUCUAGUGGCGCACGGGUGCGUAACGCGUGGGAAUCUACCCUUGGGUUCGGAAUAACAGUUGGAAACGACUGCUAAUACCGGAUGAUGACGAAAGUCCAAAGAUUUAUCGCCCAGGGAUGAGCCCGCGUAGGAUUAGCUAGUUGGUGAGGUAAAGGCUCACCAAGGCUACGAUCCUUAGCUGGUCUGAGAGGAUGAUCAGCCACACUGGGACUGAGACACGGCCCAGACUCCUACGGGAGGCCAG